rnacentral:lncRNA from 1 species
UUUGAUUAUUAAAAAAUUAAACUGUUUUUAGUAGGCGCUGCUUAUCAAAAACUUAUUAGGCGCCUUACAGUAGGCAUCGUUUUCCUUUGCUUCGAUGCUCUAUUGUAGCUUAGAAAUUAAACGUUGCCUAAAUUUAGGACGCAUCUAACUAAUAGUAAUUUUUUUUACUAGAAAAAAUAUUUAUUUUUAUUUAUUGUCUUCUUUAACUAAGGAAAAAUGAGACUUAAGACCAUAUAAAAAAGAAAUUAAUAUUUUUUCGUUCCUUCAAGAUGGGUUUUGCGAAAAUAUAUUUCAGCUAUCGUUAUCUAAUUAUUUUUCACAUGUAUCUGUGAAUAUGUGUGCAAAUAGGUUUGCUAACUGUUAAAAAAAAGCUUUGGCGCCAAAUUUGGUGUUAUAAAAUUUUUAAGGCGUUCAAGCGUUAUUGUAUUUACUUUUUUUUAUAUAUAAAUCCAUAUAUAAUAUCACCGUGUUUGUGAGUGCGACUAUUUAAACGUUGGUUCGGUUCUUGUUUACCGUAGUAAUCAAUUAAGUUUUGUUGUAGAGAAUUUUAAUUGAAUGUAAACAACGGAUGAAAAAUCUAAGACAUUAAAAAAUAUUAACGACAAACGGAUUAUGCAUUACAAGCAUACCAUACAUAUUUACAUAUUUGGGGCACUUUGGUACAAAUGUUUUUCAUCAGCUCAAAUGGUGGUUUUAACCAGUUGAAAAAGUCCCCUCCAUCAAAUUUCAAUUAUCCACGCUCCGUCAUAACGAUUUCUGAUUGGUGCACAAAAUACAAAUGCAAAUGCAUAAAACUCACUUCAGACUGCGACUUAUGUACAUAUUUACAUUUUCAUUGGCACAUUUGUGAAAAAUGGUUCGCGUGCAAUUUUUACAACCCAAUAAAAAUGGUAUAUUAUUAGUGGAGCGCGUUUGAGUACAUAUGUAUUCAUGUAUGUAGGUAUAUAAGAAUGUAAUAAAUAUAUUUGUACAUAGAAACUAUUUCAAUGCUAAUUUUUUUCUGUCGUAAAUUAUAUAAAUAUCUAAAUCGAGGCCGUCGUCCAAACAUGCUAAAAAAUACCACACAUAGAAUUUGGUCUGUUAUCAGCUUAUAUAUAUUUUUUAUUUAUUUUGAAACAAAAGUUUUAUAUGGUAAUAUGACAAGUUUUGCUUUUAACGAGAGAUACCUCAUUUUGCGACUAAAUGUAGGCAACGUUUUUUGUUUGCCAAGAUUCAGACAUUUAUGUUGCAUAUUAUUAGGCUUAUUAGGUUUUUCAGCACAAAAAAGUUAACUAAUAAUAAUAAAAAAAUAAACAACAGCAGUUUAUUCUAAUCGAAAACUGUGAGAUAUUACUUUUUUUCGAAUCUUAAAUAUAAUCAUAGUAGAAAUGUGUAGCGUUGGCUAGCUUUAUUUAGCUAUAAAUAGCUUGCAAUAUAUUUUAAUUCCAAUAUCAGUAUUGUGUAAUAAUUAAUUAAAAUAUCAAAAUCACAAUAAAAAGGAAGUUUCAUUUGGCUUAGGUGUAAAAAAAAGUCCAAGCUUGUGGUUUGAAGCUUUACAAAAACCAGCUUAAUAGCGUUAACUAACUGCUGCCAUCUGCGGCUUGUGGGUCAUUGCCAACAAAAAUUGCUGUUAUUUGUUUUAGUAAGUGAUCUAUACUCUUAAUCUUUAGCAAAAUUGAAGAAAAAACAACAAAAUCUUUAAUUUUUAAAUUAAAAUUAUUCACAUUCAAAUCAUAUACACUUCUCUAUUACUUUAGUAUGGCGUUGUAUCACUAAAUAAUGCAUUUAUUUAAUUGUGCACCUGCCACAGCGGCGUCUAAUGCAUACUCAACCCAAGCGAAGAAUCGGACACGUAGUAACAAAGCAAUUUGUAGCAGCCAACAAGAGAGCUGAUGGCGGUAAUUUUGUUGGUACUUCAAUACAAAAAAUGUCCAAGAAUAAAUAAAAAAUUUAUAAUACAAAUUUGUAUUUACUCAUUGUACAUAAGUGCAUACAUACAUAGCUAUAUAUUGCAGUUACGAGUUCAAUAUGCACUUGCAGAUGCUGGUAUUGACUUGCUUGUUGCAACGUUGAUAAGAUUAUCAGCACAAACAAUCACAAUUAAAGAAACGCGCGCAGAGAGAGAUGCUCAGUGAAAAAUAAAUAAAAGAAAACAAAAAAUAAAAGCAGUAAAUAAGAGUUAUGGAAAAUGUUGCAAUUGCAGACAUCUUUGACACUUGAGGCUGCGUUUGUUUCUCGACAUUACUUUAAGAUCACACGGACAUACCGUAACCAAGGCAUUUGAAAGGGAUUAAUGGACAAAAAAAUAAACAAUGAAAAAAUCAAAUACUAGAUAACCUUUUUGAUAAAGAUUUCUGAAGGCAAAAUGAGUAUAAAAAUAUAUAUAUGAAAUUAUAAAUUAUGAGUUUAUGAUAUAAACAUUAUAAAACGACAACAGCAUGCUUCACUUAUUAAACAAAAGACUAAAUGUAGGCAACAAUUCACUUUAGUUUUCAUGUAUAUGGUAUGGUAUAAUGUUGCCUACAUUUAGGCACGAAAAAGAAGAAUUU